rnacentral:rRNA from 1 species
GUUAAGUCCCGCAACGAGCGCAACCCUUAUUAUUAGUUGCCAUCAUUAAGUUGGGCACUCUAGGUUGACUGCCGGUGACAAACCGGAGGAAGGUGGGGAUGACGUCAAAUCAUCAUGCCCCUUAUGAUUUGGGCUACACACGUGCUACAAUGGACAAUACAAAGGGCAGCUAAACCGCGAGGUCAUGCAAAUCCCAUAAAGUUGUUCUCAGUUCGGAUUGUAGUCUGCAACUCGACUACAUGAAGCUGGAAUCGCUAGUAAUCGUAGAUCAGCAUGCUACGGUGAAUACGUUCCCGGGUCUUGUACACACCG